CAAAAACAUAGUUAUUAGAAAUUAUUAAUAAUAUGUUCUGCUCAAUGAAUAAUUAAAUAGCCGCAGUACCCUGACUGUGCAAAGGUAGCAUAAUCAUUUGGCUUAUAAUUGAAGUCUUGUAUGAAUGAAAUGAUGAAGGAUUACUAUAUCAUAAAUAUAAUAUAAAUUUACUUAUAAAGUGCAAAUACUUUAGUUAAAAUAAUAGACGAGAAGACCCUUGAAAUUUUAAGAAUACGCAUUAAAAGGUUUUUGUUGGGGCAACAGUGUAACAAGUAAUUUACAUUAUUUACAUGAAAUAAAAUAGACAGAAUAAAUUACUCUAGGGAUAACAGCGUAAUAUAAUAAUGUUUGCGACCUCGAUGUUGGAUUAGGAAACAAAAACUUAGAAGGUUACUUGGUAUGCUCUGUUCGAGCA
rnacentral:rRNA from 1 species